rnacentral:rRNA from 1 species
UACGUAGGGGGCGAGCGUUGUCCGGAAUUACUGGGCGUAAAGGGCGUGUAGGCGGCUCUGCAAGUCUGGGGUGAAAGCCCACGGCUCAACCGUGGGAUUGCCUUGGAAACUGUGGGGCUUGAGGGCAGGAGAGGAGAGCGGAAUUCCCGGUGGAGCGGUGGAAUGCGUAGAGAUCGGGAGGAACACCAGUGGCGAAGGCGGCUCUCUGGCCUGUACCUGACGCUGAGGCGCGAAAGCGUGGGGAGCAAACGGGAUUAGAAACCCCCGUAGUCC